CCCUUAGAUGUUCUGGGCCGCACGCGCGCUACACUGAUGCAUUCAACGAGUCUAAAACCUGCUCUGAUAGGGGUGGGUAAUCUUUUGAAUGUGCAUCGUGAUUGGGAUAGAUGAUUGCAAUUUUUCAUCUUCAACGAGGAAUGCCUAGUAAACGCAAGUCAUCAGCUUGCAUUGAUUACGUCCCUGCCCUUUGUACACACCGCCCGUCGCUCCUACCGAUUGAAUGAUCCGAUGAAUAUCAUGGAUUGAGGAUUAUAGCAGGUUCGCCUGUCUUGAUCUUCGAGAAGUGAAGUAAAUCUUAUCAUUGAGAGGAAGGAGAAGUCGUAACA
rnacentral:rRNA from 1 species